UGUAACUGUCACUUUGUUCUGCAUCACGUCUUUGGGAUCUUGACACGCUGUGGGCUUAAGGGGAAAUUUGGCCCAAUAAAAUUGGACUGUGUUUUAUAAUUCAGCAUUAAUUAAUAUAUGUGUGUGUGUGUGUGUGUGUGUGUGUGUGUGUGUGUGUGUGUGUGUGUGUGUGUACAUGCGAGGACAGGGUCAGAAGUGCAGCAGGGUGACUGCUGCCACCAACCUGGCUUUA